CUAGUUGACCAGACAGUCGCUGUUUAAUAGUAAAAUCAAUUAAUCAGAGGAAAGUCCGGGCUCCAAGAGCAAGAGUGCCAGGUAAUACCUGGGCAGAAUAUUUCUGACGAACAGUACAACAGAAAAAAUACCGCUAUUUUUAUACAUAGUAAGGGUGAAAAGGCGUGUUAAAAGCACACCGCAUAUUUAGUAAUAAAUAUGGCAAUGUAAACUCCACUCGGAGCAAGGUUAAACAGAAUAAAAAUACUGCUCGUAUAUAUUAUUCGGGUAAACCGCUUGAACUAAUAAGUGAUUAUUAGUCUAGAUAAAUGACUGUCAAAUACAGAACCCGGCUUAUAGGUCAACUGUUGUA
rnacentral:RNase_P_RNA from 1 species